ensembl:lncRNA
GAUGUGGUGGUUUUCACGUCUCUGUUCUUUCAGUGUUUUAUGUCUAAUUUUACUCUUCUUUUCCUUUCAGUGGCGACACAGAGACGCUGCAAGCAGGUUCAUCAGUUGAACAUAAACUGUGUUCAGGGUGACAGCAUGACUAUUUUUUGCCUGACCACAACCCACCCGCUGGAGUCUCUGACAGUCAAACUACACAAGAAAAACCAAGAUAAAGACAUCCUGAUAAAUCCAGACAUCUCUCCAGCAUCAGAGCACCAGAGAUGGUCUGUGAGGAAAGAUGCUGGAAAUGUUACACUUGAUCUGAAAGACAUCAGAUUAUCUGAUGAUGGCUUUUAUGACUGUCAGGUCUACAAGGAUCAGGACUGCCUUCAUGCAACUACAUUUAACCUGAGGGUCAAAGGUAAGAAUGCAAAUUUCUGAAACAAGCAAAUAAUCCCCAGGUAACCCAUUGUAAUGUAGUAUGUUUCUUUGGUUUUUAGAGUGUAAAAUUUUGGACUCUGUCCAUCCAACACCAGGCUCUUCAGUGCUGCUGCCAUGCUCUGAACAUCCUCUACAAAACAGAACUGAACGAGUCACUUGGAACAUCAUUAUUGGUCAUCAACCAACAGAUAUAUUUCAGUAUCGGCCACCAAACAAGCCCUCAAGCAGCACAGAGAAACCCCCAAAGCCUCUGUAUGAGAGAGCGAGACAACUAGCAAACGGAUCUCUGCUUAUAAGAGAUGCAGUACGCACUGAUAAUUUUUGGUAUCAAUGCAGAGUGAAUGAAAAAACCUGCUAUGAAGUGAAGCUGCUGCUGAAAGAUGAUCCAACCCCAGAGGACAGUACGGUUGUUCAGACUGAACACAACAACAAUUACGAGAGUGAAACAGCGAUAACUAAUUCAACAGUAGUGGUGAUGACCACAGUAGUGUCUCUGUGUGUCCUCAUAUCACUGACCAUCUGUGUCAUUGUGUAUUUCAAAAAACGAAGAUGCAAAAUCGACAGCCAAAGUAAGUCCACAACUUCUGAGUGUGUUGCAAUAAAGAAACUGAAAUACUGUAACUUUGUUAUGAUGAUAAAUUGA